GAGGCAUCAUGGGAAGAAGAAGGCUGUCCUUCAGUAGAAUGCACUGGCAAGCAAUGAUGAAAGCUGAGUGCUGGAGAAAAACUGUCAGCUAAGAAGCUGGUGUUCACCUGCUGUGCUAGCAAUCCAACGAGCAAAACAGUUGCACAAAAAUAAUGUUACUAAUAAUACAGAGCCAUGAGAGACAAAUGAUCACAUACUUAAUGGAAGUGCACGUGAAGAGAAGAAAAGAAAUAAGGACACACGAAUGGAAAAAUCCAUUGAACAGAGGGACUUAGUAGAGCAGCGGCUGAUACUGAAGACACAUUCCCUGCAGGCAGUAGUGCAGGAGCCAUACAAUGAUCUGCACCUGAAAUGAGCAGGUGUCACCGCUUGCAUCUGAGAAGGACAGGCAAGGAACCUUUCACUCCCUACUAAACUAGGGCUAUUUACAGAAACCGAAGUUGAUUAAUUGAAGCUCCAGCACUGGGAAUGUAUUGCUCAUCUCUUCUGCGCAUCAUUGGGUGAUGCUGCUUGGUGUGCACCGUGGCUUUGUCUUGACUUCACAUCAGGGAGAUGGCAUCAUGGGCAAAGAAAACGCUCCGGAAAAGAGUCAGGAAAUGGGACUCUGCCUCUGACAACGCUUCGUAACCUGGGGUUCAUCGCUUUGUCACCUGAGCCUCAGUUUCUUCAUC